rnacentral:rRNA from 1 species
UACGAAGGGGGCUAGCGUUGCUCGGAAUCACUGGGCGUAAAGGGCGCGUAGGCGGCCAUUCAAGUCGGGGGGUGAAAGCCUGUGGCUCAACCACAGAAUUGCCUUCGAUACUGUUUGGCUUGAGUUUGGUAGAGGUUGGUGGAACUGCGAGUGUAGAGGUGAAAUUCGUAGAUAUUCGCAAGAACACCAGUGGCGAAGGCGGCCAACUGGACCAAUCUG